rnacentral:ncRNA from 1 species
GAAAAUGCAAGGAAGCGGAAGAGUACGCGGCUCACGAAGCGCAGAGAGAGGGCGGAUGGUGCAAGUCCCUCGUGAGCGGGCCGCCGAAGUCGCCGUGGAGCAGCCGGGCUGAACGAUGCAGUAGGCCGGACGGGAACUCCCGUUACAGAGUCGCGAGUGUCCGCCGACCGGGCGGGAAUUCAGGUGGUAACACGGACUUUUUGGUUCGCCCUGAGC